rnacentral:rRNA from 1 species
UACGUAGGGGGCAAGCGUUGUCCGGAUUUAUUGGGCGUAAAGAGCGUGUAGGCGGCCAUGCAGGUCAGCUGUGAAAACUCGAGGCUCAACCUCGAGACGUCGGUUGAAACCGUAUGGCUAGAGUCCGGAAGAGGAGAGUGGAAUUCCCGGUGUAGCGGUGAAAUGCGCAGAUAUCGGGAAGAACACCGGUGGCGAAGGCGGGUCUCUGGGCCGAUACUGACGCUGAGGAGCGAAAGCGUGGGGAGCGAACAGG